rnacentral:tRNA from 1 species
GCCCUUGUAGCUCAGAAGGAUAGAGCAGCAGUUUCCUAAACUGCGUGCCGGCAGUUCGAAUCUGCCCAAGGGCACCA